rnacentral:rRNA from 1 species
CCCUUAGAUGUUCUGGGCCGCACGCGUGCUACACUGAGUGGAUCAGCGGGUCAGGUUACGCGAGAGCGUUUCCUAAUCUUCAAAUCCGCUCGUGAUGGGGAUUGACGGUUGCAAUUUUCCGUCAUGAACGAGGAAUACCUUGUAAGCGCGGGUCAUCAUCCCGCGCUGAAUACGUCCCUGCCCUUUGUACACACCGCCCGUCGCUCCUACCGAUUGAGUGGUCCGGUGAGGCUUUGGGAUCUAAGCGAAAAGAGCGUUUCGCUCCUUUUGCUGGGAGAACUCAGUCGAACCUUAUCAUUUAGAGGAAGGAGAAGUCGUAGCA